UGGGGAAUAUUGGGCAAUGGAGGAAACUCUGACCCAGCAACGCCGCGUGAACGAUGAAGGUCUUCGGAUUGUAAAGUUCUUUAAGUGGGGACGAAGAAAGUGACUGUACCCACAGAAUAAGCCUCGGCUAACUACGUGCCAGCAGCCGCGGUAAUACGUAGGAGGCAAGCGUUAUCCGGAAUGACUGGGCGUAAAGGGUGCGUAGGUGGUUUGGCAAGUUGGUAGCGUAAUCCCGGGGCUCAACCUCGGUGCUACUACCAAAACUGCUGGGCUUGAGUGCAGGAGGGGUGAAUGGAAUUCCUAGUGUAGCGGUGGAAUGCGUAGAUAUUAGGAAGAACACCAGCGGCGAAGGCGAUUCACUGGACUGUAACUGACACUGAGGCACGAAAGCGUGGGGAGCAAACAGGAUUAGAUACC
rnacentral:rRNA from 1 species